rnacentral:rRNA from 2 species
CAAGUCGAACGAGCUUCCGUUGAAUGACGUGCUUGCACUGAUUUUAACAAUGAAGCGAGUGGCGAACUGGUGAGUAACACGUGGGAAAUCUGCCCAGAAGCAGGGGAUAACACUUGGAAACAGGUGCUAAUACCGUAUAACAACAAAAUCCGCAUGGAUUUUGUUUGAAAGGUGGCUUCGGCUAUCACUUCUGGAUGAUCCCGCGGCGUAUUAGUUAGUUGGUGAGGUAAAGGCCCACCAAGACGAUGAUACGUAGCCGACCUGAGAGGGUAAUCGGCCACAUUGGGACUGAGACACGGCCCAAACUCCUACGGGAGGCAGCAGUAGGGAAUCUUCCACAAUGGACGAAAGUCUGAUGGAGCAAUGCCGCGUGAGUGAAGAAGGGUUUCGGCUCGUAAAACUCUGUUGUUAAAGAAGAACACCUUUGAGAGUAACUGUUCAAGGGUUGACGGUAUUUAACCAGAAAGCCACGGCUAACUACGUGCCAGCAGCCGCGGUAAUACGUAGGUGGCAAGCGUUGUCCGGAUUUAUUGGGCGUAAAGCGAGCGCAGGCGGUUUUUUAAGUCUGAUGUGAAAGCCUUCGGCUUAACCGGAGAAGUGCAUCGGAAACUGGGAGACUUGAGUGCAGAAGAGGACAGUGGAACUCCAUGUGUAGCGGUGGAAUGCGUAGAUAUAUGGAAGAACACCAGUGGCGAAGGCGGCUGUCUAGUCUGUAACUGACGCUGAGGCUCGAAAGCAUGGGUAGCGAACAGGAUUAGAUACCCUGGUAGUCCAUGCCGUAAACGAUGAGUGCUAAGUGUUGGAGGGUUUCCGCCCUUCAGUGCUGC